rnacentral:rRNA from 1 species
UACGGAGGGGGCGAGCGUUAUUCGGAAUCAUUGGGCGUAAAGGGCGCGUAGGCGGUUUGUUGCGUCGGCUGUGAAAUCCCGAGGCUCAACCUCGGGUCUGCAGUCGAUACGAGCAAACUAGAGUGUUGCAGGGGAGACUGGAAUUCCUGGUGUAGCGGUGAAAUGCGCAGAUAUCGGGAAGAACACCCGUGGCGAAGGCGGCCAGCUGGGCCGGAUCCGACGCUGAGGCGCGAAAGCGUGGGGAGCAAACAGG